AGGGAUAGAGCUCAGGGGUAGAACACUUGACUGCAGAUCAAGAGGUCCCUGGUCCAAAUCCUGGUACCCCUA
rnacentral:tRNA from 1 species